GCACUUACUUCUGUAGCACAUGUACUAAAACUGGAGCAGUAUGAAGAAGAUUAGCAUGGUCCCUGUGCAAAAAUAACAUGCUAAUUCAUGAAGUGUUCCAUAUUUUU